CACGUAGGGCGCAAGCGUUGUCCGGAAUUAUUGGGCGUAAAGAGCUCGUAGGCGGUCUGUUGCGUCCGCUGUGAAAACUCGGGGCUUAACCCCGAGCCUGCAGUGGAUACGGGCAGACUAGAGGUAGGUAGGGGAGAAUGGGAUUCCCGGUGUAGCGGUGAAAUGCGCAGAUAUCGGGAGGAACACCGGUGGCGAAGGCGGUUCUCUGGGCCUUACCUGACGCUGAGGAGCGAAAGCGUGGGGAGCGAACAGG
rnacentral:rRNA from 1 species